UACGGAGGGAGCUAGCGUUGUUCGGAAUUACUGGGCGUAAAGCGCGCGUAGGCGGCUUUGUAAGUUAGAGGUGAAAGCCCGGGGCUUAACCCCGGAAUUGCACCUAAAACUACUUGGCUAGAGCAUUGGAGAGGGUAGCGGAAUUCACGGUGUAGCAGGUGAAAUGCGUAGAUAUCGUGAGGAACACCAGAGGCGAAGGCGGCGUACCUGGACAAUUGCUGACGCUCAGGCACGAAAGCGUGGGGAGC
rnacentral:rRNA from 1 species